rnacentral:rRNA from 1 species
CAGUCGCCGCGGGAAUACGUAGGGUGCAAGCGUUAAUUGGAAUUACUGGGCGUAAAGCGUGCGCAGGCGGUUAUAUAAGACAGAUGUGAAAUCCCCGGGCUCAACCUGGGAACUGCAUUUGUGACUGUAUAGCUAGAGUACGGCAGAGGGGGAUGGAAUUCCGCGUGUAGCAGUGAAAUGCGUAGAUAUGCGGAGGAACACCGAUGGCGAAGGCAAUCCCCUGGGCCUGUACUGACGCUCAUGCACGAAAGCGUGGGGAGCAAACAGGAUUAGAUACCCCCGUAGUCCCUGUCUCUUAUAC